GGAUUUGGCAAUGAGACAAAGUAAAACUAGGCUGUUUGCACUCGCUAGUACGUGUGUGUGUUAGGCUCAAAGGAGCCUUGAAUGGGAACUCCAGGGGUGUCAGUCCAAGUCGGAUUGCUCCCUGGGUUGAGGUGAAACUAUCUUGCCUGUGGAGUUUGAUUAGCAGUCACCUCACAUUUCCUAGGCCGGGCUUUGUCUCGCUGGCUCCACGACUCCCCUCUUUCUUCGUCAUGGUGUAUUCUUCUCUUCUUCCUAACACUCUAUAAGGAUGCCGUAUCAGAUUUGGAUCGACUGGUUGGCACAGCAGGAAAGGCAAACAUUUAUUGUCUUUGAGAUUUAAAAAUGCAUCUAUAGUUUGUAUUUUACACUUUCAAAUUAAUUCCAAUUAGUUGCCACAGAUUUAUUUUCCUGCUGUUGAAAAAGACUAGAAUUAAGAUAUGACAUCUGCAUUCUGAAUGCGUCUGCUUUUCAAUCUCUUAUCUACUCAGUCACCCCAACGUCAACACCAACUAGCAAUUCACAUAGCCCAGUAUUAGCUCUUAGUCUGAAGACCCACACUCUUAGCACCACAGUGACUGAAACGCCUGCAUUGAGCCUAAGGUGAGGAAAGGGAAUAACUGCACUCUCGCAAUAACAGUAAAAAGCUAGCUAGCUGUUAGAGUAACACCAGUUCCAUAAUGUGCAGUUUCUUGCUGGUUGAAUAAUAGCUAAUGAAAUAAUUUUAAUUAAGCCUUAACUCCACUCUAAUGGAGUGUUCAUUUGAGUGAAGUGCCACUGGAACUUCUGUCUGCAACCGUUGUUUGUCUCUGUGUAUUCUAGUAGCCAAGCCACGGGUGGUGUAGAGGCAUUCUCGGUGCUGUCGUGAGGGGAAUGGAGCAAAUGGGUUGAUGGGAGUGUUAGGGCAUAAUUAACAUUUUUUGGUUUGAUGUUGAGACGAGUUGCACAGCGGAGAACAGAGAUGUAUUUUUUACUUCUUUAUAUCCACAAAACAGCCACUGUUGCAAAUUGCACAUAUUCAAAUCGCAUUCUGAACACAUAUAUGAAGAUCUCUUUCACAGUUUCACAAGUCCAUUUGCUCUCAUUGCCUUGAGGUUCACUCAGUGUGAUGUAAUAAAAAAAAAAAUCUGCUUAGUUAUUUAGAAAGGAGUCAAUUGAUAGUGUCAAACUGAAACAGGAGUCCAUUAGGUUAUAUUGGUCUCCGAUGCACAUUCCUUACACUUUUCAACUUUUUCUGGGUCAAUGAUCCUUACUUCAGUAAGAGCAAUUUAAAUCGCAUGACUGUCAGGAGAACCUCUGGGUUGUAUUAAGUCCAGCUGACAUAUUGACCCUGUAGGCCUUUCAAAUGAAGGCCAGUGUUGGCGUGCAGCCGAUACACAUUCAUACUGUGACCUUACAAGCUCCUGUACUCCAUUGUUAGGUAGCCAAGUACCCCAAGACUAGCUUAUAGUAACUGCUUCAGGGCAGAGACUACUUAAAGCCGGGUAGCUUUGUAGUGUAUAUAUUUGGAGGUUACAUGGCUUAAAAGCAGCCUUUUAUUGGUGUACCCUGACUAUAGGCUUUGCCGUGGUGUUAGAAUGCCAAUAAGCAGUUUGCCCUGACAUAUGCGUAGGGUCGCUAACGCUUGGAAACUUGGACUAUACUUCGACACCCAGUGUCUGUAAACCCACUAUGCCACCCCCACACAGCAUGUCCCUGUCUAUUUCAAAAGAGCGAUAAAGUCACCCCAUGACGACAUUGAGUCAAUCCGUCGCCAGCUGUUAAGUCAACACUGUCACCUUCCGAGGUAGUUGGACAGGGAGCGGGCAGUUUCCGCAUACCACGUGCCAUGGUAACAGAACUGAAUGUCUUAUCACUUCUGGAUUCUCAGUGGUUUAUUUUCCCCUUCCCAAAGCCCAUUCCAGUAGAAAGCUAAACCACCGCAUCUCCGACCUUGACUUUUGCCACAGUUUUUAUGAAGUCAUUAUUUUUGUUGGAGUAUUGUGAAGAGAUACGAUGUGUGCAUUUGUUUUUGUACAAAAAAAACUCCCUCCAACGGAGUCAAGUAACGCUACUGGUGCUGUUGUCUGUCUUCUAGUUUCUAUUGUCUUCUCCUCUUCCUCCUUCUCCUCC
ensembl:lncRNA